AGCUCCAAUAGCGUAUAUUAAAGUUGUUGCAGUUAAAAAGCUCGUAGUUGGAUUUGUGGUUCGUCUUGCCGGCUGGGUCUUUUGACCUGUGCUGUGCGUGUCGUCCAUCCUUGGGUGGAACCUGUGUGGCAUUAGGUUGUCGCGCAGGGGAUGCCCAUCGUUUACUGUGAAAAAAUUAGAGUGUUCAAAGCAGGCUUAUGCCGUUGAAUAUAUUAGCAUGGAAUAAUGAUAUAGGACCUUGGUACUAUUUUGUUGGUUUGCGCACUGAGGUAAUGAUUAACAGGGACAGUUGGGGGUAUUCGUAUUCCAUUGUAAGAGGUGAAAUUCUUGGAUUUUUGGAAGACGAACUACUGCGAAAGCAUUUACCAAGGAUGUUUUCAUUAAUCAAGAACGAAAGUAC
rnacentral:rRNA from 1 species